GACGAACGCUGGCGGCGUGCUUAACACAUGCAAGUCGAACGGAAAGGCCCUGCUUUUGUGGGGUGCUCGAGUGGCGAACGGGUGAGUAACACGUGAGUAACCUGCCCUUGACUUUGGGAUAACUUCAGGAAACUGGGGCUAAUACCGGAUAGGAGCUCCUGCUGCAUGGUGGGGGUUGGAAAGUUUCGGCGGUUGGGGAUGGACUCGCGGCUUAUCAGCUUGUUGGUGGGGUAGUGGCUUACCAAGGCUUUGACGGGUAGCCGGCCUGAGAGGGUGACCGGCCACAUUGGGACUGAGGUACGGCCCAGACUCCUACGGGAGGCAGCAGUGGGGAAUAUUGCACAAUGGGCGGAAGCCUGAUGCAGCAACGCCGCGUGCGGGAUGACGGCCUUCGGGUUGUAAACCGCUUUCGCCUGUGACGAAGCGUGAGUGACGGUAAUGGGUAAAGAAGCACCGGCUAACUACGU
rnacentral:rRNA from 1 species